GUGGGGAAUAUUGGACAAUGGGGGCAACCCUGAUCCAGCAAUGCCGCGUGAGUGAUGAAGGCCUUAGGGUUGUAAAGCUCUUUUACCGGGGACGAUGAUGACGGUACCCGGAGAAUAAGCCCCGGCUAACUUCGUGCCAGCAGCCGCGGUAAUACGAAGGGGGCGAGCGUUGUUCGGAGUUACUGGGCGUAAAGGGCGCGUAGGCGGCGCUCCAAGUUAGGCGUGAAAGCCCCGGGCUCAACCUGGGAAUAGCGCUUAAGACUGGAGUGCUCGAGUGCGGAAGAGGUGAGUGGAAUUCCCAGUGUAGAGGUGAAAUUCGUAGAUAUUGGGAAGAACACCAGUGGCGAAGGCGGCUCACUGGUCCGCAACUGACGCUGAGGCGCGAAAGCGUGGGGAGCAAACAGGAUUAGAAACCCUGGUAGUCC
rnacentral:rRNA from 1 species